UACGUAGGGGGCAAGCGUUUGUCCGGAUUUACUGGGCGUAAAGAGCGUGUAGGCGGCCAAACAGGUCCGUUGUGAAAACUGGAGGCUCAACUUCCAGACGUCGACGGAAACCGUGCGGCUAGAGUCCGGAAGAGGAGAGUGGAAUUCCUGGUGUAGCGGUGAAAUGCGCAGAUAUCAGGAAGAACACCAAUGGCGAAGGCAGCUCUCUGGGGACGGUACUGACGCUGAGACGCG
rnacentral:rRNA from 1 species